CGGGGAGCACCACAACAGGUGGAGCCUGCGGUUUAAUCGGACUCAACGCCGGGAAACUCACCAGAUAAGGCAGCUGAAUGAUAGUCGGGCUGAAGACUCUACUUGACUAGCUGAGAGGAGGUGCAUGGCCGUCGUCAGUUCGUACUGUGAAGCAUCCUGUUAAGUCAGGCAACGAGCGAGACCCACGCCAACAGUUGCCAGCUCGUCCUCCGGGAUGGUGGGGACACUGUUGGGACCGCCUCUGCUAAAGAGAGGAAGGAAUGGGGCAACGGUAGGUCAGCAUGCCCCGAAUUAUCUGGGCUACACGCGGGCUACAAUGGGUGGGACAAUGGGUAUCGACACCGAAAGGUGAAGGCAAUCUCCUAAACCCAUCCGUAGUUCGGAUUGUGGGCUGCAACUCGCCCACAUGAAGCUGGAAUCUGUAGUAAUCGUGUCUCAAAAUGGCACGGUGAAUAUGUCCCUGCUCCUU
rnacentral:rRNA from 1 species